rnacentral:rRNA from 1 species
CACAAGCGGUGGAUGAUGUGGUUUAAUUCGAUGCAACGCGAAAAACCUUACCUACCCUUGACAUGUCAGGAACUUUGCAGAGAUGCGAAGGUGCUCGAAAGAGAGCCUGAACACAGGUGCUGCAUGGCCGUCGUCAGCUCGUGUCGUGAGAUGUUGGGUUAAGUCCCGCAACGAGCGCAACCCUUGUCAUUAGUUGCCACGAAAGGGCACUCUAGUGAGACUGCCGGUGACAAACCGGAGGAAGGUGGGGAUGACGUCAGGUCCUCAUGGCCCUUAUGGGUAGGGCUACACACGUCAUACAAUGGCCGGUACAGAGGGUUGCCAACCCGCGAGGGGGAGCCAAUCCCACAAAGCCGGUCGUAGUCCGGAUCGUAGUCUGCAACUCGACUACGUGAAGUCGGAAUCGCUAGUAAUCGCGGAUCAGCUUGCCGCGGUGAAUACGUUCCCGGG